CGAACGGUUGAGAGGUGGGAGUUGAGAGGUUAGAAGUAGGGAAAAGAAAAAGUCUCACAUCCAACUUCUCACAUCUCACUUCUCAAUAGUGGCGGACGGGUGAGUAACGCGUGGGUAACCUGCCCUUAACACCGGGACAACAGCGGGAAACUGCUGCUAAUACCGGAUAAUCUCAAGAGAAGGCAUCUUCUUUUGAGGAAAGGUGGCCUCUGAAUAUGCUACCGAUUAAGGAUGGACCCGCGUCUGAUUAGCUAGUUGGUAGGGUAGCGGCCUACCAAGGCGACGAUCAGUAGCCGGCCUGAGAGGGUGACCGGCCACACUGGGACUGAGACACGGCCCAGACUCCUACGGGAGGCAGCAGUGGGGAAUCUUCCGCAAUGGGCGAAAGUCUGACGGAGCAACGCCGCGUGAGUGAAGAAGGUUUUCGGAUCGUAAAACUCUGUUGUCAGAGAAGAACAAGUUGGAGAGUAACUGCUCCAGCCUUGACGGUAUCUGACCAGAAAGCCACGGCUAACUACGUG
rnacentral:rRNA from 1 species